rnacentral:rRNA from 1 species
GACGAACGCUGGCGGCGUGCUUAACACAUGCAAGUCGAACGAUGAAGCCGGAGCUUGCUCUGGUGAAUUAGUGGCGAACGGGUGAGUAACACGUGAGUAACCUGCCCUUGACUCUGGGAUAACUGCUAGAAAUGGUAGCUAAUACCGGAUACGACCCUCGGAGGCAUCUUCAGGGGGUGGAAAGAAUUUCGGUCAAGGAUGGACUCGCGGCCUAUCAGCUAGUUGGUGAGGUAAUGGCUCACCAAGGCGAUGACGGGUAGCCGGCCGGGGAGGGUGACCGGCCAACCGGGGACUGAGACACGGCCCAGACUCCUACGGGAGGCAGCAGUGGGGAAUAUUGCACAAUGGGCGCAAGCCUGAUGCAGCAACGCCGCGUGAGGGAUGACGGCCUUCGGGUUGUAAACCUCUUUUAGUAGGGAAGAAGCGAAAGUGACGGUACCUGCAGAAAAAGCACCGGCUAACUACGUGCCAGCCGCCGCCGUAA